UAGCUUGCUACCUGACCUAGCGGCGGACGGGUGAGUAAUGCUUAGGAAUCUGCCUAUUAGUGGGGGACAACAUUCCGAAAGGAAUGCUAAUACCGCAUACGCCCUACGGGGGAAAGCAGGGGAUCUUCGGACCUUGCGCUAAUAGAUGAGCCUAAGUCAGAUUAGCUAGUUGGUGGGGUAAAGGCCUACCAAGGCGACGAUCUGUAGCGGGUCUGAGAGGAUGAUCCGCCACACUGGGACUGAGACACGGCCCAGACUCCUACGGGAGGCAGCAGUGGGGAAUAUUGGACAAUGGGCGAAAGCCUGAUCCAGCCAUGCCGCGUGUGUGAAGAAGGCCUUUUGGUUGUAAAGCACUUUAAGCGAGGAGGAGGCUACUUGGAUUAAUACUCUAGGAUAGUGGACGUUACUCGCAGAAUAAGCACCGGCUAACUCUGUGCCAGCAGCCGCGGUAAUACAGAGGGUGCGAGCGUUAAUCGGAUUUACUGGGCGUAAAGCGUGCGUAGGCGGCUUUUUAAGUCGGAUGUGAAAUCCCUGAGCUUAACUUAGGAAUUGCAUUCGAUACUGGGAAGCUAGAGUAUGGGAGAGGAUGGUAGAAUUCCAGGUGUAGCGGUGAAAUGCGUAGAGAUCUGGAGGAAUACCGAUGGCGAAGGCAGCCAUCUGGCCUAAUACUGACGCUGAGGUACGAAAGCAUGGGGAGCAAACAGGAUUAGAUACCCUGGUAGUCCAUGCCGUAAACGAUGUCUACUAGCCGUUGGGGCCUUUGAGGCUUUAGUGGCGCAGCUAACGCGAUAAGUAGACCGCCUGGGGAGUACGGUCGCAAGACUAAAACUCAAAUGAAUUGACGGGGGCCCGCACAAGCGGUGGAGCAUGUGGUUUAAUUCGAUGCAACGCGAAGAACCUUACCUGGUCUUGACAUAGUAAGAACUUUCCAGAGAUGGAUUGGUGCCUUCGGGAACUUACAUACAGGUGCUGCAUGGCUGUCGUCAGCUCGUGUCGUGAGAUGUUGGGUUAAGUCCCGCAACGAGCGCAACCCUUUUCCUUAUUUGCCAGCGGGUUAAGCCGGGAACUUUAAGGAUACUGCCAGUGACAAACUGGAGGAAGGCGGGGACGACGUCAAGUCAUCAUGGCCCUUACGACCAGGGCUACACACGUGCUACAAUGGUCGGUACAAAGGGUUGCUACCUAGCGAUAGGAUGCUAAUCUCAAAAAGCCGAUCGUAGUCCGGAUUGGAGUCUGCAACUCGACUCCAUGA
rnacentral:rRNA from 1 species